rnacentral:lncRNA from 10 species
UAUUCAUACACAUACAGACAAGCACACACAUUGAACCUGAAAGGUAGAUGCACAUAGCAGCUAGGCCUCCUCAGGCACUGAGGGAUAGGAUUGGGGUAGAGAUUGAAAGACUCUUUAGUAUAGGGAGCUUGCGUGUGAGAGAUGUAUGAGAUGUGAAAGAUGUGAGAGUGAUGACGGGAGUAGCCUCAGGCUUAAUGGGGAAUGACCCCAUGGGCCUGGGAACAUGGGACACAAUUCCAGACACAAGAGCUCUGGAGAGUUUAACAUAGAACCUUACAUAUGUGCAAUUAGUGAACCAAAGUUUAUGUACCUGGGGCCCAUAGAAAACAUAGAAAGUACAUAUAAGAAAAUGUAGAGAAGAGUAUGGGACUGGGAUGGAAGCAUUCUGGAAAGGAGUAGUGGACCUCUGGUAGUUUUGCCUGCCUGGCAAACAUCCCUAACCUCCUGACAAGAAUACCUGCCAUACCUCCCCACACAGUUCAUGUGUUUCAGGUGGAGGGGCUCAAGCCCACCUUAGGCACAGGAAUGGACAUUUGACCGACUCCUGGCUAUAUUCCCAUAGCCGAUAAUCCC